CUUUACACAUGCAAGUCGAACGGUAACAGGUCUUCGGAUGCUGACGAGUGGCGAACGGGUGAGUAAUACAUCGGAACGUGCCUGGUAGUGGGGGAUAACUACUCGAAAGAGUAGCUAAUACCGCAUGAGAUCUACGGAUGAAAGCAGGGGACCUUCGGGCCUUGUGCUACCAGAGCGGCUGAUGGCAGAUUAGGUAGUUGGUGGGGUAAAGGCUUACCAAGCCUGCGAUCUGUAGCUGGUCUGAGAGGACGACCAGCCACACUGGGACUGAGACACGGCCCAGACUCCUACGGGAGGCAGCAGUGGGGAAUUUUGGACAAUGGGCGAAAGCCUGAUCCAGCAAUGCCGCGUGCAGGAUGAAGGCCCUCGGGUUGUAAACUGCUUUUGUACGGAACGAAAAGCCUGGGGCCAAUACCCCCGGGUCAUGACGGUACCGUAAGAAUAAGCACCGGCUAACUACGUGCCAGCAGCC
rnacentral:rRNA from 1 species